GCAGUCGAACGGUAACAGGAGAGAGCUUGGCUCUCUUGCUGACGAGUGGCGGACGGGUGAGUAAUGCUUAGGAAUCUGCCCAUGUAGUGGGGGACAACUCCGGGAAACCGGAGCUAAUACCGCAUAAGCCCUACGGGGGAAAGCAGGGGAUCUUCGGACCUUGCGCUAUUGGAUGAGCCUAAGUCGGAUUAGCUUGUUGGUGGGGUAACGGCCUACCAAGGCAACGAUCCGUAGCUGGUCUGAGAGGAUGAUCAGCCACACUGGGACUGAGACACGGCCCAGACUCCUACGGGAGGCAGCAGUGGGGAAUAUUGGACAAUGGGGGCAACCCUGAUCCAGCAAUGCCGCGUGUGUGAAGAAGGCCUGCGGGUUGUAAAGCACUUUCAAUUGUGAAGAAAAGCUGAAGGUUAAUACCCUUCAGUCUUGACGUUAACUUUAGAAGAAGCACCGGCUAACUCUGUGCCAGCAGCCGCGGUAAUACAGAGGGUGCGAGCGUUAAUCGGAAUUACUGGGCGUAAAGCGCGCGUAGGCGGUUUGAUCAGUCGGAUGUGAAAGCCCCGGGCUCAACCUGGGAAUUGCAUUCGAUACUGUCUAACUAGAAUGUGGUAGAGGGAAGUGGAAUUCCAGGUGUAGCGGUGAAAUGCGUAGAUAUCUGGAGGAACAUCAGUGGCGAAGGCGACUUCCUGGACCAACAUUGACGCUGAGGUGCGAAAGCGUGGG
rnacentral:rRNA from 1 species